rnacentral:rRNA from 1 species
GGGAAAGGAUGUGGGAUUUCUAAGACAACUAGGAUGUUGGCUUAGAAGCAGCCACUCAUUUAAAGAGUGCGUAAUAGCUCACUAGUCGAGAGAUCCUGCGCCGAAGAUGUAACGGGGCUCAAACUUACCACCGAAGCUAUGGAUGUGUACUUUGUACACGUGGUAGAGGAGCUUUCUGUACAGGUUGAAGUCAUACCGUAAGGAGUGGUGGACAGUACAGAAGUGAGAAUGCUGGCAUAAGUAGCGAAAAACAAGUGAGAAUCUUGUUGACCGAAUAUCUAAGGUUUCCUGGGGAAGGCUCGUCCUCCCAGGGUUAGUCGGGACCUAAGCCGAGGCCGAAAGGCGUAGGUGAUGGACAACUGGUUGAUAUUCCAGUACCACCAUAAUGCGUUUGACAAAUGGGAUGACGCAGGAGGAUAGGAUGUGCGCACUAUUGGAUGUGCGUCUAAGCACUUAGGGUGUUAAGUAGGCAAAUCCGCUUAACAUUAAGCCUGAGGUGUGAUGGGGAGCCUAUUUUGGCGAAGUAUCUGAUUCCACGCUGCCAAGAAAAGUCUCUAUGGAGCAAAGUGGUGCCCGUACCGCAAACCGACACAGGUAGAUGAGGAGAGAAUCCUAAGGUCGUCGGAAGAAUUAUUGCUAAGGAACUCGGCAAAUUGACCCCGUAACUUAGGGAGAAGGGGUGCCUACGAGAGUAGGCCGCAGUGAAUAGGCUCAAGCAACUGUUUAUCAAAAACACAGGUCUCUGCUAAAGCGUAAGCUGAUGUAUAGGGGCUGACGCCUGCCCGGUGCUGGAAGGUUAAGGGGAAUAGUUAGCGCAAGCGAAGCUAUGAACUUAAGCCCCAGUAAACGGCGGCCGUAACUAUAACGGUCCUAAGGUAGCGAAAUUCCUUGUCGGGUAAGUUCCGACCCGCACGAAUGGCGUAAUGAUUUGAGCACUGUCUCGGCAAUAAAUCCGGUGAAAUUGUAGUGCAAGUGAAGAUGCUUGCUACCCGCGGUUGGACGGAAAGACCCCGUAGAGCUUUACUGUAGCUUAGCAUUGAAUUUCGGUAUUGUCUGUACAGGAUAGGUGGGAGACUUAGAAGCGAGGGCGUCAGCUUUCGUGGAGUCGUCCUUGGGAUACCACCCUGACAGUACUGGAAUUCUAACUGGAGGCCAUGAAUCUGGUCACAGGACAUUGCUAGGUGGGCAGUUUGAC